rnacentral:lncRNA from 1 species
GUUUCUUUGAGCUGUGAAUGUAAGUACAUGUGUACGUACAUAUGACAUUUGUACAUUUACGAAAAUCUAUUAUCAGUGGCAUCUCCGGACACACAGGCAAUCUUUUGUGUGUAAAGAACCCUUGAAAUUUCGCUUAUCUCUUGGUCUUUUGUUUCUGCUGACUUCACUCACGAUUGUUAAUUUGUUUGCGGUUUCUCCGACUGCGACACCCAUCUGCAGGACACCGUACCCCGCUGUCGAACCCUGUCAAGGCAGCCCGCAUAGUCGAACCUCCAGCCUCGCUUCUCAACUUUUGAUGCAAGAACAUUGUGAAGGCAUAAACGAAAACGUGGCCCACAGCAUAGAGCAUCGCAUUCCCUCCCUCCACUCCCACAUUGUUAUAACUACGCGUAACUUUCGACAAGUGUCGCCUGAAAAUCGCCAAGCGUUCUCAUGUAAAGAGAGCCCUCGACCGAGUCCCGGCCCCCAACAGGAGCGGUUCAAAGUGCUCUACCAGUGCCGUUGGAGACGAACGAAUCCGCUCUUGAUGGCCCGCUGCCAGCUGUGGUUUAAUCUUCUUUUAAGUUGCGCCCCCCACCGUCCAAGUGGGGAAACCCUAGAAAAAGGAGGGCGACACCGUAAAGCAAAAAGUUUGCCGCCACUUGUGGGUUGAUAACAUAGAACAAAGCAAAGUUGGGGGCUAGCUCGACUAGGGUCGGGUCUACUAGCGCAGUGACUGUGGCUGGGCUACUGCCAGUCCUUAGUCCUGAGCACAGCUUGAAAAUAGUUGGAGUUUGUAAAAAGUCAUUGUAACAUUUCUGAAAAGAAGACUUUGCCGUACUCUGCUCUCCCUUCUGCACUCUAAUUAGUCGUCCCUGGCUUGUGAUUUGUGGGCGGACUGUGGGCAGUUGCGGAAUUGAAGGACCGACAUCCGAUCACCUGAAGAGGGGCUGGACUGCUGGUGCUGCCACAACUUUUCCCGCCACAAAUUCAACUUGUAAUAUUGUGCUGAUUUUUUUUUUUCACAGUCCGGAAAAUUCCAUAUAAAAUACACUGAGAAAUGGCGGCCAAAAGUAGUGGUUGCCAGGGAAUAGAAUUUGACAUUACUCUCGGUAUUUCGCUCAGUGUGGAAACAGCUUGGGCACGAUAAAUCUUGAACCGCAUCUGGCCAAGUCUCGGACUCCGGCUCGGACUCCAACUCGGACUUGGUUUCUCUCUCAUUAGUGGAGCCAAUUAUACAUAUACAGUUCAUACAUGUCUCGAUUAUUUCAGCCCGCAAGCGUUAUAGAAGGCCGCAAAUAAUUUAAAGCCAAAUGAGCCUGCCACAUUUUAUGUUGACCACAUUAACCAUUUUUGGCAGAGCGAGAGAGAGGGGAGAGGCCAAAAGGCCGACAAAGUAUUUAAUUAAAUUAAGCAUAAAGGAAAACACCGGACAGCGAGUGCUGAGCCCGGGAGACUUCUGCUACGGAUGAAGUUGGCUUCUGUUUUUAUGGUUUGGCCUUUAAAGCAGUCAUAAAUCAUUUAAGAAAAUGGCCAAUCGUGGGGAGAAGUCUGUGGCUCAGAGCGAGAAACGCACAGAUAUUUCCGCUAAUGGCCAGUGGUUGCUCAUUGUCCGAGGCCGAUCACGCCCGCCGCCCAGCCACUCGAAACGCAUUAAAAUAGACUAAAAUAUUCGGUGUCCCUACUGGACUGCGUUUAUGGCCACUUAAUGUAAAACAGUUAAUUAGCGGCUCACACAUAUACAAACAUACACACCCAUAUAUCGUGGUAGCGGUGGGCAGACAAAAGCAAGAGAAAUGUCCAACCUUAAUGCAAAAUGGCAGCCAUCAUUUUCGCUUUUCUUUCCUUCCUAUUCUUUAACAGCUUCUACUGCUUUUCCUCUGCCGCUGCUGCUGACGUUUGCCAUCUUCACUACGCCAGGAACACAGUAGGGAGGUAUGCGGGGUGUCCAGUGUGAGAGGCGGAAAAUUACUUUUAUUAAUAAAGCGCAAUGAGGCGUGCAAAAAAAAAAAUAAAUUAACAUUAUACAAAAAACGAGAAGGUACGUUUGAGACGCUUCUUCCGCGUCACAACUUUUAUACCCGGUACUCAGUAGGACAUCCGUACCUUAGUGUUUUUUUCCAAAUUUUAAAUUUGAUCUACAUAUGUCAUCUACAUCUACAUCACUUCUCACGCCAACACGCCCUUUUAGCUCGCUCCCCCAACCAUAGAGCCACACACUACACGAAGCAGAGUGUGAAUGAGAGAAUAUGCAAAAAACCAAAACAAAAUGCUGGAUGGGGUGGGUGUUAAUUAAUUAAUAAAAAAUUAAUCUCUUCACUAUGGCUGUAAUAAUUAUCCAAUCGAAUCCCAAUUCGAUGAUCUUAUAGAUAUAGUCUUUUCCAACGGAAUAGCGCUUCUAGUUUUCUUCUAUCUUCAAAAUUUUAGCUGUGGGAUAUUUUCGCUCUUCGGGCCGGGGCUAAUUGUCGAAAUACACUUGUAACAGUGUGAGCACACAGCCAUCUGGAUGCAAAAUUUUGAGGCUCUAGCUUAUAUAGUCUUUGAGAUCCAGGCGCUCAACAAGACGGAUGAACAGACAGACAGACGGACGGACAGACAGACAUGGCUCUAUCGACUCGUCUAUUCAUGCUGAUCAAGAAUAUAUAUACUUUAUGGGGUCGGAAACGUUUCCUUCUGUGCGUAAAAACAUCCGUUAUUCCCCACAAAUGCAGUAUACCCUAUUUACUCAUCGAGUACCGGGUAUAAAAAGGAGAUGGAAAAAGUAAAACGCAAAAAAUGAGAAUGGCGAAAAUUAACAUACAGAAUGACUUUUGACAUGCCUCGGACAUUAUUGUGUCGAACACCUUCGCCUGCAGUUUAUUAUUAAUACUGAUGCAGUGUGGACACUUGGGAGGGAUUGCAACUUUUCUUUUGUCAACUUUUCGGCACCCUGUCCCUGUCCCACUUGUAAUUACGAUGAUGGCCAUCGAACGCGCCGGAACGUGACACAAAGGAAACGAGGUGCUGUAAUAUUUAAAGUUUGCCUUGCUGUUUGUCUCGUCGAAAAUGCACACCUGGCAUUUUUAUAAUUAUUAGCUCAGUAUCGACAUUUAAAUGGGUCCAUCACUGCCGUCCGUAAAUUCAGCCCAAUGCAGAACAUAUUGGCAGCUGGCAACUUUUGACUAAAUUGCCAAAGUAUAUUUUAAGUAAUAAUCAUUAACCGCGACUUCAUUUGCAUAUUCAAGACGGCAGGCACCGUCAGUCGCCCGACCCAACCACCAAGCCAUGACAGCGUACGCUUUGGUUAAGUGGGAGCGUAAUUUAAAUUAGGUUCGGGGCGGGCCUGCGGUCUAGCUUAUUAAUGAUGCUUUCAUUAAAUUUGAUCUCAGCUGGUCACAACGGUGGCUUGAUUUAAUUUCGCAAACCACGUCAGGAUAUCUUCAUGUUUUUUUUGUUUUUGAGGUUCUACCCUUGGGUGGAGAGGGAUUAUUUGGCCGCCCGCCUUUACAAGGUGGAAAUCGCCACGUCGAGAUAUGUAACUUGUUACAGUUUUACUCAAAUUUUGUCGAUGAACUCGAUUAAAGUUUGGUACGAGCUAAUUUGUUCUUUUUCGAAGAAUUUAUAGAUAUUAUUAUAUUUCCUUAGCGAUGGGUAGUUUAGUCUUAUUGUGUUGUACUUGGUACAAUUAAAAAUUAUAUGCGAUGCGUCAUCGAUAAUAUCGCAAGUAUCACAAAUGUUACUUGCGACUACGUGCAUUUUGGCAAGUGUGUGCCUAUCAAAUGCACUGCCGCUAAGCAGUCUAUUGAUCCUUUUAGCGUCAAUGGCUUUUAGCUGAUUUCUAUUUAGGAACCAUUGUUUUGUUGAGGUAGAGGGAAAAAGUGAGCAGUAUCCUCUGCGUUUAACGCUGGCAAACUCGGCAUACUCUCUCUCCCAUUCUUCCUUCAGUAUUCGGUGUAUCUCACAUAUUGCAUCUUUAAGAUUCCAUUUAACGACUGUAUAUUUUCCCAGUCUGUGUGCUUCUUUGGCUGCUGAGUCUACUGUCGUGUUCUGAGGGAUGUUGGCGUGGCCGGGUAUAAAAUGGAUUUCUACCUUCUUUAGGUAUUGGGCUUGACGGAUCUUCUCCCUGAUUUUAUAAGCGAUAAAAUUAUCCUGAAUGCUCCUUGCCAGUAUUAGAGCCCCGUUUCUGCUGUCCGUUAGGAUGGCUAUACGAGAAAACCCGCGGGAAAUAGCAUGGUCCAGGGCCUUUUCAAUUGCAAUCAACUCGGCGGACAAAGAUGACAAGGUUUUGUGCGUUUAAAAGCUGUCUAUGAAACCUGAGCUGUCGUGUAGGAAAGCUGCGCUAGAGUUUCUGUUAGCUACUGAUCCAUCAGUGUAGUAGGUCUCGAAGCCUUCCCUUGUCAGGAGUGCCCUUUUUUCCCUAUGGAGAACCAAUAUGCCUGGUCUAAGCUAUGGUUGUUCUCAGCAGCCCCCUUAAAAAAGUCUAAGUCUGACCUAAUUUUGGUGCAAUGCGAAGUUGUACUCUCAAAGACCUCGAUAUUCUCCAGAAUAUCACCGAACUCCCGAAAUGCCUUGGCGUAGCCUGUGUUUAUGUCCCUGUUUAGGGACACUGUCCUACUCGCUGGGAGGCUGUACGCAAAUGCCUUGGCUAACUCUCUUGCCGCUAGGAAUCUCAUUUUGUAUUCCGGGGGAAGUUCUCCUGCCAUGUGGUAAAUAAUCGGGAUUGGGGUGCAGAUGAAAAAGCCUAGUGACUUUCUAAGGUGGUGGUUACAAUGAGAUUUGAUUUUGGCUAGAGCGGAUUUGGACAAGUUGCUGAAAGACGAGCAAGCGUAUUCUAGUCUACUCCUGACAAAGGCCUUGUAAACUAUGAGCCCUCCCUUGGGCUGAUACCGUAAUGGCACCCACUGAGUAGUCUUAGGAACGCACAGGUUCUGUUUGACUCCGAAAUGGCUUGCUCGAUGUGCACUAAGGCUGAGUUGUUCGCUGAAAUUAUUCUGCCUAGAUAUUUUAUCUGAUCUACUUGCAUAAUCUCGACUCCUUGGUGCACAAUGUUCAGCUCGGUUCUUCGGAUGCUGAAGUGAACCACUUUGGAUUUGGCUGGGUUGAAAGCAAGGUUAAGCCUGUUGCAUCUUGCCUCAAAGCUGUCUAUUUUUUCUAGGAGCAUACGUUUGGCAAUGGAAAUCUCCUUGUGGAAGCAAAUAAUAAAGAAGUCGUCCGCAUACUGAAACAGUAGGCAAUUGCCAUCGUUUAUCUCGUGCAGUUCA